CUGGUUGAUCCUGCCAGAGGUUACUGCUAUCGAGGUUCGACUAAGCCAUGCGAGUCGAAUGUAGCAAUACAUGGCGUACUGCUCAGUAACACGUGGACAACCUGCCCUUAGGUCGGGUAUGAACCCGGGAAACUGGGUAUAAUCCCCGAUAGGUCUCGGCUGCUGGAAUGCAUCGAGAUUUAAAGCUCCGGCGCCUAAGGAUGGGUCUGCGGCCUAUCAGGUAGUAGUGGGUGUAACGUACCUACUAGCCUACGACGGGUACGGGUUGUGAGAGCAAGAGCCCGGAGAUGGAUUCUGAGACACGAAUCCAGGCCCUACGGGGUGCAGCAGGCGCGAAAACUUUACAAUGCUGGCAACAGCGAUAAGGGAACCUCGAGUGCCAGGUUACAAAUCUGGCUGUCGAGAUGCCUAAAAAGCAUUUCAUAGCAAGGGCCGGGCAAGACCGGUGCCAGCCGCCGCGGUAACACCGGCGGCUCGAGUGGUAACCGUUAUUAUUGGGUCUAAAGGGUCUGUAGCCGGCCGGAUAAGUCUCUUGAGAAAUCUGGCAGCUUAACUGUCAGGCUUUCAGGAGAUACUGUCUGGCUCGAGGCCGGGAGAGGUGAGAGGUACUUCAGGGGUAGGGGUGAAAUCUUGUAAUCCUUGAAGGACCACCAGUGGCGAAGGCGUCUCACCAGAACGGACCUGACGGCAAGGGACGAAAGCUAGGGGCACGAACCGGAUUAGAUACCCGGGUAGUCCUAGCCGUAAACGAUACUCGCUAGGUGUCGGCCACGGUGCGACCGUGGUCGGUGCCGUAGGGAAGCCGUGAAGCGAGCCACCUGGGAAGUACGGCCGCAAGGCUGAAACUUAAAGGAAUUGGCGGGGGAGCACCAC
rnacentral:rRNA from 1 species